rnacentral:rRNA from 1 species
CGUACACAAAAGCGCAUGUGUUGUGAGCUCGAUGAGUAGGGCGGGACACGUGGUAUCCUGUCUGAAUAUGGGGGGACCAUCCUCCAAGGCUAAAUACUCCUGACUGACCGAUAGUGAACCAGUACCGUGAGGGAAAGGCGAAAAGAACCCCGGCGAGGGGAGUGAAAAAGAACCUGAAACCGUGUACGUACAAGCAGUGGGAGCCCCACCACUAAGCCAGUGGUGAACUCCACAUACGCAUCCUUUGCUGAAGGUGCGGUUAACGGAGCGCAAGCGACGUUCAACCUCAAAAGAAGCAGAGGGGGCUUAGUGGUGGGGUGACUGCGUACCU